rnacentral:rRNA from 1 species
AUUGAACGCUGGCGGCAGGCCUAACACAUGCAAGUCGAACGAGUGGCGGACGGGUGAGUAAUGUCUGGGAAACUGCCUGAUGGAGGGGGAUAACAACUGGAAACGGUAGAUAAUACCGCAUACCAUCGGAUGUGCCCAGAUGGGAUUAGCUAGUAGGUGGGGUAAAGGCUCACCUAGGCGACGAUCCCUAGCUGGUCUGAGAGGAUGACAAACCACACUGGAACUGAGACACGGUCCAUACUCCUACGGGAGGCAGCAGUGGGGAAUAGUGCACAAUGGGCGCAAGUCUGAUGCAGCCAGUCCGCUUGUAUUAAGAAGGCCUUCGGGUUGUAAAGUACUUUCAGCGGGGAGGCGUUACCCGCAGAAGAAGCACCGGCUAACUCCGUGCCAGCAGCCGCGGUAAUAG